AAAGGAGCCAGCCUCACAAGACCUGUCACUAGUGACUAGAACUUGGAAGAGUGGACAUUUUUGUUCUUACAUGGUAUAGGUAUGUGAUGUUUAAUGCUAACUCUGUAAGGUAGAAGAUGGAGACUGAGCAGCCCCAGAAGAAGAUCCAAGUUAUAGGGUGAGAGAUGGGACAGAACUUGAACCCUAACCCAGGCCUAUCUGUUGCAAGUAGCAAGCACUAUUCAUUCAGCCAACGGCUAUGAGUUCCACCAAGGCACAUGGAGCCUAGUGUUAGUCUCGGGAGAUGGUUAAGCUCCAGGAAACACACACUCAAACAGCUGCAUGGGAGCCCUUAAUCUCAUCUGUUCAAUCUUCAUCUCAGAAAACGGUGCUUUCAUCCACCCAGGUUUUCAAGGCAACAUUCUAGGAAUCACCCUUGAUGCCUCUUUUUCCUCCCCAUCCUCACUCAUCUCAUUGGCCAGUCCCACCAGCUAUAAUUCCAGAACAUAUCCUGAUUGACCCACUUCUCUACGUCUCCCUUGUGACCACCCUAGUCCAUCCCACCUUCAUAUCUUCCUUGGAUGGCUACACAGCCUCUGACCUUGUCUCUCAGCUUCCUCUCUGUAGUCCAUCCCAUCUGCUACCAGUCAGGACUCCAUAGGGCAGCCAGAUGCUUUGUGUGUGUGUGUGUGUGUGUGUGUG
rnacentral:lncRNA from 1 species